GCCAGACUCCUACGGGAGGCAGCAGUGGGGAAUAUUGCACAAUGGGGGAAACCCUGAUGCAGCGACGCCGCGUGAGUGAAGAAGUAUUUCGGUAUGUAAAGCUCUAUCAGCAGGAACGAGACAAGACGGUACCUGACUAAGAAGCCCCGGCUAACUACGUGCCAGCAGCCGCGGUAAUACGUAGGGGGCAAGCGUUAUCCGGAAUCACUGGGUGUAAAGGGAGCGUAGACGGCUGUGCAAGCCUGAAGUGAAAGGCGGGGGCCCAACCCCCGGACUGCUUUGGGAACUGUGCGGCUGGAGUGCAGGAGAGGUAAGUGGAAUUCCUAGUGUAGCGGUGAAAUGCGUGGAUAUUAGGAGGAACACCAGUGGCGAAGGCGGCUUACUGGACUGUAACUGACGUUGAGGCUCGAAAGCGUGGGGAGCAAACAGGAUUAGAUACCCGUGUAU
rnacentral:rRNA from 1 species